ACCAGACACUCUCACACACAAGAUGGAGACGGCUGGUGAGGAAAAGCGUUCACUUGUCCUUCCCUCUAGGAGCUUCCACAAGGCUGGAUAUCGGGUGGAUACUCACCCAAAAGGCCAGCAGCAAUGGAUCAUGAGGCAAAGAGCAUCGCAGCGAGUACAAUGAUGGAGAGCACGAGAGGGGCGGAGUCAGUAACAAGUUGCUAUGACAACAUAUGAUGGAGGAGUUACAAGGUGACACUGUGGAGUUGGCAGAUAAUCCAUUGGACGUCUUGCUCUGCAGAUAAAGGAAUACAAUUAAGAAAUAGUGACACUGAUGAUCGAUGACCUUAAUUAUGAACACUGAUAAACAAUAUUUUCCUUAGACUGAAUUAUGACAUUUAAUUUUUCAAUUUUUAAUUUUUUGUCUGAGUUUAAAUUGGUUUGUAAUUUUCUGAACACGUUCUUCCUCGC